UACGAAGGGAGCUAGCGUUGUUCGGAAUCACUGGGCGUAAAGCGCACGUAGGCGGAUGUGUCAGUCAGGGGUGAAAUCCCGGAGCUCAACUUCGGAACUGCCUUUGAUACAGCACAUCUGGAGUCCGGAAGAGGUGGGUGGAAUUCCUAGUGCAGAGGUGAAAUUCGUAGAUAUUAGGAAGAACACCGGUGGCGAAGGCGGCCCACUGGUCCGGUACUGACGCUGAGGUGCGAAAGCGUGGGGAGCAAACAGG
rnacentral:rRNA from 1 species